rnacentral:rRNA from 1 species
AUGGAGAGCUCCUCCUCGUCAUCUCUGUUGCUGAGCUCGUAUACCGGCGGCAACAGGAGGGCCAGGGAGGCCGACCUCGACGUUGUCUCGUCCGCGGAGGCCGAGGCCGCCAAGAGGAUGCGGCCCGAGGACCUGCUGGACCUGCUCGACGACGACGCCGACGCCGCGGCGGCCGGCGACCUGGCCUCCGUCAUGCGCAGCCUCGAGGAGGAGAUUUGCGCCGGCGACCUGGCCCCGCCGCAGCCGGAGCUCGGCUUCCUGCUCGAGGCCUCGGACGACGAGCUCGGCCUGCCGCCGGCGGCGGGCGCGGCGUCCUCCUCGUCGGACGACGCCGGGGGCUGGGAGCCGGAGGAGCCGGCCGGCGUCUUCGCGGAGCAGAUCUGGGGCUUCGAGGACGAGAUUGACGGCGCCUACGCCUUCGGCGGCGUCGCCUCCUCGCCGGAGGCGGCAGCGGCUGCCGCCGCGGCCGCGGCCGAGUGGGGCGACGACGGCUUCGACGCCGGCCUCUUCGGCUUCGGCGACGAGUCCUUCGGGCCGUCCGAUCUCGCCGUGCUCCGCCACGAGACCAUGCCGGCCGUCUGA